rnacentral:pre_miRNA from 1 species
CAAAUACUCCCUCCAUCUACUUGUCAUCAAAAUGGAUAAAAGGGGAUGUAUCUAGAUGUAUUUUAGUUCGAGAUACAUCUCUUUUUAUCCAUUUGGAUGACAAGUAUUUUCGGACGGAGGGAGUACUAG